rnacentral:rRNA from 1 species
AUUGAACGCUGGCGGAAUGCUUUACACAUGCAAGUCGAACGGUAGAGGGGGCAACCCCUCGAGAGUGGCGAACGGGUGAGUAAUAUAUCGGAACGUGCCCAGUCGUGGGGGAUAACGUAGCGAAAGCUACGCUAAUACCGCAUACGAUCUAUGGAUGAAAGCGGGGGAUCGCAAGACCUCGCGCGAUUGGAGCGGCCGAUAUCAGAUUAGGUAGUUGGUGGGGUAAAGGCUCACCAAGCCGACGAUCUGUAGCUGGUCUGAGAGGACGACCAGCCACACUGGGACUGAGACACGGCCCAGACUCCUACGGGAGGCAGCAGUGGGGAAUUUUGGACAAUGGGCGCAAGCCUGAUCCAGCAAUGCCGCGUGCAGGAUGAAGGCCUUCGGGUUGUAAACUGCUUUUGUACGGAACGAAACGGCGAGCUCUAAUACAGUUUGCUAAUGACGGUACCGUAAGAAUAAGCACCGGCUAACUACGUGCCAGCCGCCGCGGUAA